GCCUCAUCUUCUACCAGUUUCCUCCAUCCAUUAUUAUUAUCAUUAAGCUUUCUCUAGUUUAUUCAUCACAUUUUCCACAACCACUUUCAGAUCCACAUUCACAUUUAGAGUCUCUCACUAGACUAUCAAUUACUGUAUCUGUAAUAUUAUAUAAAUCUUACAUGCUCCUCUGUUUUCACUCACACUGCAACUUUUUCUGGUUUUUGCUCUCUUUCCGUUCAUUUCCGUAACCGAAAAACUCCAAAAUCAUGUCUGAAUCCGGUGACGGACUGGAUCACCUUCGAAUUCCAUACGAUAAAAUCAAAUUCGGUGAGAAACUCGAGACUCAGGGCUAUGGAACAGUGUUCGAAGGAGAGUUUAACGAUCAACGAGUGGCGUUGAAGCAGUUAAACAUCACGAACCUUGCGAACAUUAAACCGAAAUUGUUAGGUGAGAUUCUAACAAUUUCUAAAUUCCGUCAACAUCCGAAUCUCGUGGCUCUGCUAGGGUUUUGCGAUGAGAAGAGCAAUGAAAUAAUACUAGUUUACGAGUAUGUAGCUAGUGGAAAUCUAGAAGAUAAGAUGCGAAAACGACUCACAACGAUUCAGCGGUUUGAGAUCUGUCUCGGUGCUGCUCGUGGACUGUGUUAUUUGCACACCGGAGUUGAAUCUCUAACCAUCGUUCACGGUAACAUCAAACUUUCAAAAAUUUUAUUGAAUUCACUCAAUUCAGAUGCAAAUUUAAGAUAUGAAGCGAAGGUUUCUAGCUUCGGAUUAUCGAAAAUAGUGCCUGGAAAAGGUCAGAAGGUCCUGGAAUCUUCUGAUGAAGAAGGUUCCAAACCGACGAAGGAAUCAGAUGUGUAUUCGUUUGGUGUGUUGUUGCUGAUAGUGUUGUGUGGUGUAUCGGAACUGGUGGAUACUGACGAUUAUCAGGAACGUCAUGUUUCUGAAUUGGUACCGAAGAAGAUGAAGCAAAAUGAAUUGCGUAAAACCGUUCAUCGUGAUAUUCGAAAGGAGAUUAAAACUGAGGCGUUGGAUACUUAUGCCGCUAUCGCGUGCCAGUGUGUGUUGGAAAAUCCGGACGAGCGUCCUGAUAUGGUUAAAGUUGUUGAAGAACUUGAAAAGGCGUUGAGAUUACAGGGAGGGGAAGUGACGUAUGUCCAAAUUCCUGGUGGUGGAAAGCUCGCCGGAGUGAUAGAUGAAGCCGGAAAAGAACCUGAGAAGGAGAACAUUCCGGUUAUUGAAGAAGAUGUGGAGGAUUUGAACGCCGGAGACAAAGUGGAUACUGCUGGAGAAGAUGAUGGUGAGAAGAAUACAGGGGAAGCUACUAAUACGGAGAGUAGCAACAAUGAUCAAUCGAUCACAAAGGAAAUUUUAAACUCCAAAAUGGAAUCAAACGAGGAGGAAAAUAAAAGCAAAAUUCCUACUGAGGAUGUUUAUAACGAAAUGAGCACAAUUGAUCCAGAGAGCAUUGAAGAUCAAACCAUUGAUGCCUUUGACUCGGACAAUAAAUCAGUAAUCAUCGAGGAAAACAAUGAAGAUGAGAAAAGUAUCAAGGUUACUAGCAACGACGAGAAUUAUACAAUGAAAGAUACUAAUACGAAGAGUGUACCCGACAGAAAUCAUAUCGAUGAUGCUAAAAUUGAGAAUAGCAUCCAUGACCCAGCUACUGAAAAUGAAAUUGUAAAUAAUUUAAACUCCAUAAAAGAAUCAAACACGACGGUUGAAAGCGAAGAGGAGAAUAAAAGCGAAAUUGCUAUUGAGGAUGCUAAUAACGAAAUGAUGAUAAUUGAUCAAGAGACCACAGAUAUUACUACAACUUCAGAAUCCAGUAUUGGUGACACAAAUACCUCAACAAACCAGGAGAGUGCACCCGACAAAAAUCAUAUCGAGGAUGCUAAAAAUGAGAAUAGCAACGAUGAUCCAGCUACCGAAAAUGAAAUUUCAAACGAUUUAAACUCCACAAAGGAAUCAAACAUCACGGUUGAAAACGAAAAGGAGAAUAAAAGCGAAAUUGCUAUUAAGGAUGCUCAUGAUGAAAUGAUCACAAUUGACCGAGAGACCACUGACAUGAAAACAACUUCAGAAUCUAGCAACGGUGACACUAGUACCUCAACAAACCAGGAGGGUGUACCCGACAAAAAUCAUAUCGAGGGUGCUAAAAAUGAGAAUAGCAAUGAUGAUCCAGCUGCUGCAAAUGAUUUAAACUCCAUAAACGAAUCAAACAUCACGGUUGAAAACGAAGAGGAGAAGAAAAGCGAAAUCGUUAUUAAGGAUGCUCAUAAUGAAAUGAGCAAAACUGAUCAAGAGACCACUGAAAUUACUACAACUUCAGAAUCUAGCAAUGAUGACAAGAGUACCUCAACAAACCAGGAGACUGUACUCGACAAAAAUCACGCUGAGGAUGCCAAUAAUGAGAGUAGCAACAAUGAUCCAACGACCCAAAAAGAAAUUUUAAACGAUUUAAACUUCAUAAGGGAAUCAAACAUCACGGUUGAAAACGAAGAGGAAAAUAAAAGCAAAAUCGCUAUUAAGGAUGCUCAUAACGAAACGAGCAGAAUUGACCAAGGGACCACUGAAAUCAGUACAACUUCAGAAUCUAGCAAUGUUGACACAACUACCUUAACAAGCCAGGAAGUGCAAGAGUCGAAGAUUCUGAAGUCAGACAGAGGGAGCUUCAGCUUCAGUGAGGUUAAUGAAGAUGAACUUGAGCGCCUUCGAAUUCCAUUAGAGGAGAUCAAAUUUGGUCAAAAAAUAGAUUUCCGUGGUUACGGUACCAUGUUUGAAGGAGAAUACAGACACCAACAAGUGGCGUUGAAACGGUUAAACAUCACAAACCUUCAUAACAUCAAACCUAAGCUGCUAUCAGCGAUUUUGACUAUAUAUAGGUUCCGGCAACACCCUAAUCUUGUGGCGUUAAUCGGGUUUUGUGAUGAAAACAACAAAGAAAUAAUACUUGUUUACGAGUAUGUCUCGGGUGGGAAUUUAUCAGAUAAGAUGAGUAAACAUCUUACCGCGAUCCAGCGCCUCCAGAUCUGUCAUGGUGCUGCUCGUGGACUCGAAUAUUUGCAUAGUGAUGAUGUCAUUCAUGGCAAUAUAAGACUUCCAAAAAUCCUGUUGAAGUCAGACUCAGAUUCAUCAAACUUUGAAGCUAAAGUUUCGGGUUUUGGGUUACCGAAACUACUGCCGGGACAAGUUGAGAUUGUUCCAAAAUCAAUGGACCCUGCAUAUGCAGCGACAGGGAAGUUGACCAAGGAAUCUGACGUGUACUCAUUCGGCGUGUUGUUGCUUGAAGUUUUAUGUGGGGUACCGGAGUUGGUGGAUACUGAUGAUUAUCAGGAACGUCAUGUGACCGAAUUGGUUCCCAAGAGAUUGGAACAAAAUAUGUUGCGUAAGAUAGUACAUUUUGAUAUUAGAGAUGAAAUAACAACCGAGUCCUUGGAAACUUAUGCCAGAAUUGCGUGUUGGUGUGUGAUGAAAAAUCCUGAAGGAAGGCCUACCAUGCCUGAGGUUGUCGUAGAACUCGAGAAAGCACUGAGAUUACAGGGCGGGAACGUAUCUGAUGUCCAGAUUUUUGGUAGUGGUAAUGGCAACCGUCUAUCUGAAGUACCCGUUGUUGAGGAUGAUCAUAAAGGUGAUGAUAAUGUUGAGACGGUGAGCCCAAAUAUAAUAGAGGAAGAAUCCAAGGUAACUGAAGAAACUAUUGACGAAAAGAACAAAGACGUCAAUCUGCUAGGGGAGAGUCUGCUGGAGGAUGCUGAAACAAAGAAUGUCGAUAACCUGAAUGACCCUGAAAGUACAGAAGAAACUACGGUGGAUCAGAAAUCGAUUGAGGAAUCAAAGAUCAGUGUGGAAAAUGAAGUCAGUAAUGAAAGCAAGAUAACUACACCAUCUUCAAAAUCUGACAAUGGUGACAACAGUAAUUCUGCUAUGGAGGAUGUUGUAAAAGAGAAUGUGAAAGUCCCGGAGAGUACAGAAGAAAUUACGGUCGAUCCGAAGUCGAAUGAGGAAUCAAAGAUCAUUGGAGAAAGUGAAGUCAUUAACGAAUGCAAAAUAACUGCAUCGUUUUCCAGUUCUGCUAUGCAAGAGCCCCUUCCAGAUGAAAUAAGUGCUACAAAAGAAAAGGGUAACGGCUUGAUGAUGAACACAAGCAAUCCCCACAUCGUGGAAGUGAAAAACUCUACGAUUCCGGAUGACAGCGGGAAAGCUGGCUCAUUGAACACCGACAAACCUGACUUGAUUGUCAAUGAUAGAGGAGGAGAUUUUAGUAAUUCCGCCACCCAAAUCCAAGAGUCUAAAAUCAAGAGAAGUAAUAGUACAAGUUCUGAGUCUAGCAAUGGUGAUGACACUGCUGCUUCAGAUUAUUUGCUGCCAAAGAGUCCUGACAACGCAAAAAAGACAACAAGAGGCUCGGGUAACUGCUGUUAUUGCUGCUGUUACUGUUCCUGGUGGCAGUUCAUCUCAGACAGGGUGAAAACUGGACACAAGCCCAAAACCAAGUGAAACGAAUAUCCUUGCCCGAAAGGCCGAAAGCAUACUUCUGUUGCACAAACCUCUUUUGUAUAAUAAUAAUCAUAUUAGACAUACUGGUUCACAAAAAAAAAAAAAAAAAAAAAAAAAAAAAAAAAUCAAAGCUUAAACUAGUAAGCAUCUCGCGACAACCCAAUGGGUUGCUACCAAAAUCUAAAAAACUAUUGUUACCAGAAUAUUCUUUAUUCUUAUUUCUACUUUAUAGCCUUGUUAUGUUACAGAGUGGUUUUGUGCGGAGAGCUAUUCUGGAAUAAACUGGUAUCGAUGUUUACCUGGAUGACAGGUCAAUGUUCUAGCAAAAGAGAUUAAGGAGAAAGUAUUGGCGUCUUACAUGAUUGGUUCCUGUCCUGUUGAUUAUUGUUUGUAAGGUUUUGUGUUUGAACACGAGUGUGAUAUUGGUAUAUACCGCCUUUGUUUACCAUUUGAAAAUCGAGCAUGCGGAUGUACAACAUGAGGCAUGAAUGCAUUAUGCAUGCUGCAUGCAACAACGUUUAAGGAGUGUUUGGGAUUCUUAUUUAAA